UGGCCUAAUACAUGUCAGUCGUAGCGAACUGCAUUCACAAGCUUGCCUUCUGAUGACGAUUAGCCGCGCGGACGUGGAUGAGUCAACACGUUGGGCAACCCUGGCCUGUAAGAACUGGGAUAACUUCGGUGAAACCGCAAGCUAAUACCGGAUAGGAUCUUCUCCUUCAUGGGUAGCAUGCAUUGCAAAGAUGGUCUUCGGCUAUCACUUACAGAUGGGCCCGCGGUGCAUUAGCUAGUUGGUGAGGUAACGGCUCACCAAGGCAACGAUGCAUAGCCGACCUGAGAGGGUGAUCGGCCACACUGGGACUGAGACACGGCCCAGACUCCUACGGGAGGCAGCAGUAGGGAAUCUUCCGCAAUGGACGAAAGUCUGACGGAGCAACGCCGCGUGAGUGAUGAAUGCUUUCGGGUCGUAAAACUCUGUUGUUAGGGAAGAACGAGUACGAGAGUAACUGCUC
rnacentral:rRNA from 1 species